AUGAGCACCUGGGCCAAUGUAGUCUGUUCUCCCUUGCUGUUUCAGGUCCCUUGUAUUGAAUGCAGAAUUAUUCAUCCUUUAAUUAUUGAUGGGAUCAGACUUGCAACAUACUUCUCAUUAUAUAGUUUUCAAGUGUCUAGCUAACACACAUAGUACGAAAAUGGGCAUCCACAAUAAUAAACCAGCAUUGGUAUUUUUGUUGGUGGUGUUGUUGGGUUCUGCGAUCCGUUUGAAUAGUGCUCAAGAUUCGACAACGCUUGUUCCAGCAAUCAUAACAUUUGGGGAUUCAGCUUCUGAUGUAGGAAAUAAUGACUAUAUUAUUACUCUUUUUAAGGCUAAUUAUCCACCUUAUGGAAGGGAUUUUGUAACUCAUCAACCUACUGGUAGAUUCUGCAAUGGAAAAUUAGUAACUGAUAUGACUGCUGAUGCACUUGGCUUCACUACUUACCCGGCUGCAUAUUUGAGCCCUGAAGCAUCGGGGAAAAAUCUCCUUAUUGGUACUAAUUUCGCUUCUGCUGCUGCUGGCUAUGAUGAUAAAACAGCCAUCCUCAACCAUGCAAUUCCAUUGUCAAAACAGAUGCAAUAUUACAAGGAGUACAAAACCAAGCUAGCAAAAGUUGCAGGCAGUCAAAAAGCGGAAUCCAUCAUAAAGGAUGCACUCUACAUAUUAAGUGCUGGAACAGCUGAUUUCUUACAGAAUUACUACUUCAAUCCUUAUCUUAACAAAAUUUCUACUCCUCAUCAGUAUACUUCUUAUCUUGUCCGCAUAUUCACUCGCUUUGUCAAGGAUUUGUAUGGACAAGGAGCAAGAAGAAUUGGGGUUACUUCAUUGCCACCAUUGGGGUGUCUCCCAGCUGCUAAAACAAUGUUCGGAUUUCAUAAAAGUGGUUGUAUCUCAAAAAUCAAUAGAGAUGCCAAACAAUUCAACAAAAAGAUGAAUUCAACUGCAAUACAAUUGCGAAAGCAACUUCCUGGCCUUAAGAUUGCUAUCUUUGACGUUUUCGAGCCCAUGUAUGACCUCGUCAAUUCUCCGUCAGACCACGGAUUUGUGGUAGCAAAUCGAGGGUGCUGUGGGACAGGUAAAGUGGAGACAACAUCACUAUUUUGCAACCCAAAGUUAGCAGGGACUUGCAGCAAUGCAACAGAGUAUGUGUUUUGGGAUGGAAUUCAUCUAUCUCAAGCUGCUAACCAAGUCCUAGCUGAUACGCUUAUUAUGCAAGGCAUCUACCUACUUGGAUAACUAAUACAACAAAAUUUGUGAAUUUUAGUAACUCAGUCGAUUAGCUAUUUAAAUUUUCGCUUUGUUUCUCACCUUGGGCUUCCCAGGAGUAUUUGUUUAGAUGAAGAUGAAAAUGAUGUCUUGUGUUGUUGUCCAUGCUUAUUUAAUGAAUGUUCCAUGUUGUGUGUGUGUGAUGUAUCUCCCGCAGUUUUGUCUAUUAAAU